rnacentral:tRNA from 1 species
AUUUAUAUAAUAUAUUUAGUAUAUUUGAUUUCCAAUCAAACUGUUUAAUUCAUUUUAAUAUAAAUA